rnacentral:lncRNA from 1 species
ACGCCAUUCUCCUGCCUCAGCCUCCCGAGUAGCUGGGACUACAGGCGCCCGCCACUGCGCCCGGCUAAUUUUUUGUAUUUUUAGUAGAGAGGGGGUUUCACCGUGGUCUCGAUCUCCUGACCUCGUGAUCCGCCCGCCUCAGCCUCCCAAAGUGCUGGGAUUACAGGCGUGAGCCACCGCGCCCGGCCAGUUCAAUGGAUUUUAAAAAUUAUUAUUCUCUAGAAAAAAGACCACGAACUUUGGAGUGGACAUCCUGAGACCUGCCUACGAAGACCAUUAGGUGGCCUCCAGAAGACACUCCCCUGAUUCCUACACCGAGGGAACACACAGCAGCAAGCUAGGAAAGAAGGGGUGACCCAGCCCAACGCUGUAAACCAGGGCGCGAACCGGCGUUGAGCUGUGCAGCUGCGCCCUGGGCUCCAGUCCUGCUCUGCCGCAGACCCCACCGGAGCCAGCACCUGCCUCCCCGACCCUCGCUGGGGCGGCUGUGAGAUGAGCCCAGAGCCUUCCUGAGCCAACCCUCGCAAGGAAAGUCUGUCUGUUCACCCCACUAUCCUUGUCUUGAAGGAUGAAGAAAAGAGGGCCCCCCGGGAGGUCCCAAAAGGUGGAAUGGACAUCUGGGAUCCAAGCACAGCAAUUUCUUUAUUUUUCUUAAGCCUCUCACUAGAGGAUGAAAAUCGUUCUGCAUAAAGGCCUGGGCUUUAUGAAAAAUAUAUUCACACCUCCCGUGUCCGAGCUGGGAUACCAAAGAAGUUCCUGGUUGAGUACUACUUAUGAAUGAAGGAUUCAGGGGAUGCACAGGACACAGAGGAAUCUGGGGGAUAUUAUGGUUCUGGGAAUGUGGAAUGUAACGUCUCAUCUUCAGCCCAUCUGUGCUACUGAUCAUCUCAUUCCAGAAGCCAUGCCUUCUCUCAGGAGCAGACAGCACAAGACUUUCCUGCCAGAGGCACAGUCCCCAGUGGGAGUAGCAUCCACAUAAGACAGGAUGCAGAGAUGUCUUCAAGCAGCUUCAAACAAAACUUCAAGAAAGAAAGUGCAAGUGAAAAAGGAAAUUCAUCCUUCCAGUCACUUAACACAGCACUGUCACGGACACCUUGUGCCUCCUUAAAAUUCGUAUACUGAAGUUCUAAGCCCCAGUACCCCAGAAUGUGACCUUCUUUGGAAAUAGGGUCAUUGCAGAUAUGAUUAGUUAAGAGGAGAUCAUACUGGAGUGGGCUUUAAUCCAAUAUGACUGGUGUCCUUAUGUAAAGGGGAAAUUUGGACACAGACACACACAAGGAGAACACCAUGUGAACUGAAGUCAAAGAUUUGGGUGAUGCUUCUACAAGCCAAGAAAUGCCAAAGAUGACCAGCAAAGCACCGGCAGCUGGUGGAGGAGCCUGGACCAGAUUCUUCCUCACAGCCCUCAAAAGGAACCAAUCUUGCCAAAGCUUUGACUUAGACUUCUAGCCCCCUGUGAUGGUUAAUGUUAAGUGGCAGCUUGACUGGGUUAAGGGAUGCCCAGAUAGCUGGUAAGACAGUAUGUCUGUGUGCAUCUCUCAGAGUGUUUCUGGACAAGAUCAGCAUUUGAAUCCUUAGAGUAAAGAAGAUCUGCCCUCACCCACGUGCAUCACCCUAUCUCUGGAGAGCGCGAACAAACAGGAGGAAGGGCACAUAUGCUCCUUCUGUUCCAGCUGGCACAUCCAUCUUCUCCUGCCCCCUGACUUCAGAGCUCCUGGUUCUCGGGCCUCAGGAUUCCAGCACUUACAUGAGAGCGUGCUUCCCCCUCCCUACUCCACCCCUAGGUUCUCCGCCCUUUGGCCUCUGACUGAAUUCCACCACCAGCUUUUCAGGGUCUCCAGCUUGCAGACGGCAGAUCGUGGGACUUCUUGGCCUCCAUAAUUAUGUAAGCCAAUUCCCAUAAUAAAUCUCCUAUCUAUCUAUCUAUCUAUCCAUCUAUCAAUCAUCUAUCUAGUCUAUCUAUCUAUCUAUCUCUAUCCUAUUGAUUCUGUGUCUCUGAGGAACCCUAAUACACCUCCAGAACUGUGAGAUGAUACAUUUCUGUGGUUUAAGCCACUCAGAAGGUGGUACUUUGUUUCACCAGGCCUAGCAAACUAAUACAAGUGCAUGGAAGGUGACUACUCAUGACUGCAACUUAGAGAACAAGGGUUAUAAUAAAAAUAAAAGUGUUAUACAAAGGUGGCAAGAUAAAUGACAAUAAAUGAAAAUAUUAACAUGUGAAUUAAAAAGUAAAGAUAUUUUUCCUAGCAUUCUCCCAGAAAGUAGAGACGCGUCUCUCUUGUUUGCCAUCAUAUCCAGCAAUGGCAAGAUAAGUUCUAGGCACUUCAUAAAAAUUUGUUGAAUGAAAG